UACGAGGGGGGCGAGCGUUGUUCGGAAUUAUUGGGCGUAAAGGGUGCGUAGGCGGUUUGGUAAGUCUGAUGUGAAAUCUAUGGGCUCAACUCAUAGUCUGCAUCGGAAACUGCCGGGCUUGAGUGUGGGAGAGGUGAGUGGAAUUCCUGGUGUAGCGGUGAAACGCGUAGAUAUCAGGAGGAACACCUGUGGCGAAAGCGGCUCACUGGACCAUAACUGACGCUGAUGCACGAAAGCUAGGGGAGCAAACAGG
rnacentral:rRNA from 1 species